CCUACGGGGGGCAGCAGUGGGGAAUAUUGGGCAAUGGGCGAAAGCCUGACCCAGCAACGCCGCGUGAAGGAAGCAGGCUUUCGGGUUGUAAACUUCUUUUGACAGGGAAGAGCAGAAGACGGUACCUGUCGAAUAAGCCACGGCUAACUACGUGCCAGCAGCCGCGGGAAUACGUAGGUGGCAAGCGUUGUGCGGAUUUACUGGGUGGAAAGGGCGUGUAGCCGGGCUGACAAGUCAGAUGUGAAAUCCGGGGGCUCAACCCCCGAACUGCAUUUGAAACUGUUGGUCUUGAGUAUCGGAGAGGCAGGCGGAAUUCAUAGUGUAGCGGUGAAAUGCGUAGAUAUUAGGAGGAACACCGGUGGCGAAGGCGGCCUGCUGGACGACAACUGACGGUGAGGCGCGAAAGCGUGGGGAGCAAACAGGAUUAGAUACCCGAGUAGUC
rnacentral:rRNA from 1 species